rfam:Ruminococcaceae bacterium CPB6, complete genome.
ACAGUACAAACUGAGCAGGCGAUAAACCCGAAAUGGGUUUAUGGGGCUGGGCCUUACGGCAACAGGGAAUCGGAACCUGUGGGACAGUA